ACCCUUCCCGCGGGGCUGGAUCUUCCAGAUGGUGCGGGCCGGGACAAGCCGGAGAGUGUCCCGGUUUCAGAAACAACCUUCGGCAGCC
rnacentral:ncRNA from 1 species